rnacentral:lncRNA from 1 species
UCUUACCUUAAUUAAUGUAUACUUGCUUUCGAUGUAAGAAGGGUUUCAUAGUAUUAAUGAAAUGCAAUUGCUGAUAUUUGUAAAUAAAUAAUAUAUUAACAUUGUACGGGCCCAUUUUGACCUACCCAACUGACCAAACCCAAAACUAGCCCAAUCAGCCCAAUAACCAACCCAAACCCAACAAACCAAAUACAACAGGCCCAAAAUCACAAACCCAAUAAAAAAUUCAGCCCAAAUCAGAAAACAAAAAAAAAAGAGAGAGAGAAGGGUAACCCUAACCCUAGAUGCGGCGCACCUAGGGUCUUCUUUUACUGCUGCCGCCUCUGUCACCACCAACUCUGCCACCACCUGCUCCACCUGUUGCCGC